CCGCUGGUUAUAAUAAACUCAGAGUGGCCAUCAGCCCUCUCUGUAUCUAUCCUGACGUGUACAUUGGAUUGCGACACCGACAAAAGGGACUUUGCUGUUAUGAUUAAGCUAAGGAUCUUGAGGUAGAAAGAUUAUCCUGGAUGAACCAAGUGGGCCCAAUAUAAUCAUGUGUCCUUGUAAGAGGGAAGCGAGAGGGACAAAGGUGGAAGAAGGAGGCAGACAACGGGAGCAGAGGAUGGAAGAUGCUCUUUGAAGAUGGAGUAAGGCGUUAUGAGCCAACAAAUGUGGGAGACCACCAGAAGCUGGAAAUUACAAGGAAACAGAUUUUCCCCUGAAGCCUCCAGAAGGAACACAGGCCUGACAACACCUUGAUUGUAGACUUCUGACCUCUAAAACUAUGUGGCUUGGCAGGUGGAAGUUCAAUAGCAGCCAUGAUUCUGGAUGGACCUGGGGACAGUCACAGUGCUGUUCAUCUGCAGAGGCGUCCAGCGGAUCCUGCUCUCUGAUAGCUUGUGUUCCCAGCUGAGGGCUGAGCUGAACACAGCUGCUGCAGGCCCACGAACAGCUGCUUGGCAAUGGUUUCACAGAGGUGGCAGCUUCUUAUGUGAAGAACCAUUGCUAAAAAGGAUCAUGCACAUAUUUUUUGGCCCUGAAACGCCAUUGAUUGCAAUAAUAAGACAUACUGGGAAUUUGUCAUAUAUCAGAUACUUUACAAAGCUGUUUAUAUAUGUUAUCUCAUAGAAUACUGCCAGCAACUUCAAAAGGCAGGAACUGUCGUCCUCUUUAUACAGAUUUCCAACUCAAGUCCCAGCACUUACAUUCAUCUUGAAAACGUCAAUUCUCUAUCAGCAUGACCUCUCGCCAGAGCACUAAGAAUGGAGAGCUACUGCUAAACGGUAACUGAUAUUUUUCUGUAAUAGGACAUUGGUGGAAAAACGCAUUACUCAAGAUCAAGAAAAUUAAAAUGACUUCAAAUCCUAAGUGACCUGCAGUUGUAAAAUUGGACUGGAUUGCUUUUUGCAAACUUUAAGAGCAUAGCCCUGAUUCACUUCAAAAAUGCUCAGUUAAAACAUAUUUUGACUAACUGGAUGUUUUCUGCUCUUUCCUUGCACCUAUGAGAAAACCAGAUUGGCUUGCCUUUAGCUUGGCAAGAAGAAUACAUAAGAAAUAAUUUUUUCUUAGAGUUAUGAAAAGCAAAUCUCCAGUUAUAGAUGGAAAAGCACUAGGGAUGUAAUAUACAAUAGCUAACACUGCUGUAUAACAUACAGAAAAGUUGUUAAAUGAAUAAUUCUGAGUUCUCAUCACAAGGAGAAAUUUUUUUUCCCUUUUACCUUUUCUUCUUUCUUUUCUUUUUGUUGUAGCUAUUUGAGAAGAUGGAUAUUAGCUGAACCUACUGUGGUAAUCAUUUCACAAUAAAUGUAACUCAAACCAUCAUGCUAUAUGCCUUAAACUUAGACAGUGAUGUAUGUCAAUUAUUUUUCAAUAAAACUGGAAAAAAAAAGUUAAAAAGAUCAAAGAAGAAUGCCCAGAAAAUAAAACUUUUGUAAAUGUUCAGGCAGCAAGACGAAUAUACUACCUACCCAAGUUCAAAAUAGUUUUCCUAGUUCUUACCAUUGGGGCCAAAUUUCCAAGACCACAGAUUUUUGUUGCCAAUCACAAUUUCAACUUGGAAGGCGGUGGGCUUUCAAUUCGCCAGUUAUAUUAGUUUCUGCUGGGCACUCAGACUUUAAUAAGUCUCGUGAGUUUAUGUACAUAAUUUAUGACUUAAGCACUCAGAUCUGGAUGAGGGGAGAUAAACUCUACCUGAAGAAUUUAUUUGGGUAUUGUCCUGUGAACCUUAUAGGAGGAAGACAAAAAAACCUACAUUUGGGAUUUUAAGGUUCAGUGAGACAAUCUUUCUAUAAAUUAACUCUCCCGGACUUUGAGAUGCCAACAUUUCACCAUUGGAGCUUCACUCGGUCAUGAGAUGAGUAUGUCUCCUGUCUAAAUUUAAACACUCCUGAAGUGAAUAGCAUGUUAAAUACAUCAAUUCCUUUCUAAGCCUGUACAUCAAGAGUAGACUGUAAAAGAAUGAAGGACACUGGGCAGUACAGGGCCUCAGCGCUCCUGUGGACAGGCUAGCUCGAGUGACACGCUCGGGUCCACCAGGAGCAUUAGGGAGGUAUUUUGUACCUUUGGCCAGAAAUGAGGAAAAAAAAAACAAAAACAAAACAGUGAGCUGGUUACAGAAGAGGAAGGUGAUGGAAUCAGAGACUUAUUUCUCCUACAGGCCUCCUUGCUAUUUUCAGGUUGCAAAGCUGGUACUUGAAACAGAAUCGAUUUAUUCCUCAGUAAUACUCUGUUAUUGUGAGACAAUAAGUUGUUGAACCCAGUUGACAAUUGAAAAAUAAAUGACUCA
rnacentral:lncRNA from 1 species